UUUUAGGUCCAAUAAAUUUUUAUUUUAAAUUUAUUUUUAGUACUUAAAUAAUAUUGCAGACUUAUUUAAUUACUUUCAUCUGUAAUUAUGUUAUAAUUAUUAUUUCUUUAGUGAAUAAUUAAAUAUUUAAUUAACUUAAUAAAUGGUAAUUAUUAUUUUAAAUUUUUUUAUUUUCAUUUAAUGAAAUAUUUAAAUACUAAUCAUUCACUAAGUAAAUAGUAAUUAAAACAUAAUUACUAAAUAAAGUAAUUAAAAAAGAGAAAUCAUCCUUUUCCACAUGGGUUUAUUAGUCCCCUCCUAAGGAAGUGUUUUUGGUGAGCCCAGCCAGUAUUAGCAAUCUCAUUGAAGACUAGGAUUAAAUAAAACAAACAUGGGACAAAAUUUAGUCCAAGCUAAGCCUGUGUAAUGAGAACUAGUGCCCACACACUAUUUUACACUAUAUUGUAAGUUGGUUUAUUCAAAAAAAAAAAAAAAAAGUGAAAUUACAGACAUGGGAUUAGCCAAGUUGGCUAGAGCGGAUGUGCUCCCUUACUCUUCACUGAGUUCGAACGCCCCUCCCCGUAGUUUAAAUUAGUUUAAAAUAGAAUAUCGCUUAAAAAAAUAUCCAUGUUAAAUUUCCAUACAAAAUUAGUUAAAUACCCAUUCCUAGACAUAAAACUAUAAAUAACCCUUAUACUAUUUAUUGUAUAUAAACACACCCAAAAUAAACCCAAAAAUCGAUAGUUGUCGAUUUUUUCAAUUCAACAGUUAUAUUAUAUUACGGUUUUGCCCCUUUGCAAUUUGAGAAAUAGCUGACUUAUUAUUAUUAUUUUUUAAAUCUUUUAUUUAAUAACAAUUAUGUUGUAGAUUGAAGAGGAAUAAGAAGAAGAAGAGCAUCGACCAUGGCGGUGAGCAGCUUGUGCGGCUCCAGACUCAUCUUCUUCUGCCAAUCCUUUCGAUGCUCUUGGCAACGCUCUUAUCGGUUCUUCUUCCAAGACUUAGGUUUGUCAUCUUCCUCGUUGCUGCUGUAUAUAUUUUUUUUUAAUGUGAAAAUAUAUUGUAUUAUGCCUUUCAAGAUAAUGAACCGUU
rnacentral:lncRNA from 1 species